rnacentral:tRNA from 1 species
GCCGAGAUAGCUCAGUUGGUAGAGCGCAUCCAUGGUAAGGAUGAGGUCAUGGGUUCAAAUCCCAUUUUCGGCU